rnacentral:rRNA from 1 species
GAUGAACGCUGGCGGCGUGCCUAAUACAUGCAAGUCGAGCGAACAGACGAGGAGCUUGCUCCUCUGACGUUAGCGGCGGACGGGUGAGUAACACGUGGAUAACCUACCUAUAAGACUGGGAUAACUUCGGGAAACCGGAGCUAAUACCGGAUAACAUGUUGAACCGCAUGGUUCAACAGUGAAAGACGGUCUUGCUGUCACUUAUAGAUGGAUCCGCGCCGCAUUAGCUAGUUGGUAAGGUAACGGCUUACCAAGGCAACGAUGCGUAGACGACCUGAGAGGGUGAUCGGCCACACUGGAACUGGGACACGGUCCAGACGCCUACGGGAGGCCGCAGUCGGGAAUCUUCCGCAAUGGGCGAAAGCCUGACGGAGCAACGCCGCGUGAGUGAUGAAGGUCUUCGGAUCGUAAAACUCUGUUAUUAGGGAAGAACAAAUGUGUACGUAACUAUGCACGUCUUGACGGUACCUAAUCAGAAAGCCACGGCUAACUACGUG